rnacentral:rRNA from 1 species
AGUGAACGCUGGCGGUAGGCCUAACACAUGCAAGUCGAACGGCAGCACAGUAAGAGCUUGCUCUUACGGGUGGCGAGUGGCGGACGGGUGAGGAAUACAUCGGACUCUACUUUUUCGUGGGGGAUAACGUAGGGAAACUUACGCUAAUACCGCAUACGACCUACGGGUGAAAGCAGGGGAUCUUCGGACCUUGCGCGAUUGAAUGAGCCGAUGUCGGAUUAGCUAGUUGGCGGGGUAAAGGCCCACCAAGGCGACGAUCCGUAGCUGGUCUGAGAGGAUGGUCAGCCACACUGGAACUGAGACACGGUCCAGACUCCUACGAGAGGCAGCAGUGGGGAAUAUUGGACAAUGGGCGCAAGCCUGAUCCAGCCAUACCGCGUGGGUGAAAAAGGCCUUCGGGUUGUAAAGCCCUUUUGUUGGGAAAGAAAAGCAGCAGGUUAAUACCCCGCUGUUCUGACGGUACCCAAAGAAUAAGCACCGGCUAACUUCGUG